rnacentral:lncRNA from 1 species
UGCUAAAGUCUGGUUGAAGUUGUGGAUUUCUCUCUCCUUGUAGUGCAAUCAGUUUUUGCUGUUUGGAAGCCCUGGUGGUAGGUACAUACACAUACAGCAUGCUUGUGUCCCUUCCUGAAUUGACACCUUUUUUAUUUGAAAUGUCUCUGUUUCUGGUAAUAUUGUUUGCCCUAAAAUCUACUGUCUGAUUUUAACACAGCCACUCUAAGUCUCUCUUGAUUGGUGUUAGUGUGGUAUCGCUUCUUCCAUUCUUUCCUGUUAACCUCUCUGUGUCUUUUUAUUUAAAGUAGGUUUCUGGGUGGCAGCAUAUUGUUAGUUUUUGCUUUAAAAAAAAUCUGAUGAUUUCUGCCUUUGGGGGUUGAUUAUGGAUAUGGGUGGUGUUUAAGCCUACCAUCUUGCUAUUUGAUUUCUAUUUGUCCCAUUUAUUCUCUGUCCAGAAUUGAACUCUGAUCCCUCUCACAGCCCUGAAAUCCUGCCUCUCCCACCUGCCCUGCUGCCUCAUGAGCUCCAAACCCCACCUGCCUCCCAGGACUGCUGCCUGAGCUGCCUGCAGGCUGUUCUCCACAGCAGAGGGACUGGUCUUCAUAAGGUAAGUCAAAGUCAUCUCUUCUAUGUCCAAAUGCUCCUGUGGCUUCUCCUCUCACCUGGGGAAAACCACCCCAGAGCCUGCUCACCUCUGCGUUGUUCCUGGGUCACACCAGCCAUGCCUUAGCCUAAUGUUUUUCCUCUUUCUCUUUCUGGAAUGUUUUUCUUCCAGGAUCUUCGGUGGCUCACUCCUCCCACCUCAACCCGUGCUCAGGCCUCUGCUGAAGUCCCCCUGAGGGAGAGGAGGCCUGUUUGAACACCUUCUCCAAAAUAGCACCCCCACCAUGCCCCCCUUGCCUGGCUCUGUUUUUCUUCCCAGCUCCUUUCUUUGAAGUACACAUACUUGGGUUUUUAGUUCAUGAUCUCUGUCCCGCAACUAGAACGCAGUUCUCCAGUGAGCGGCGUGCUCUUGGCCUGCACCAGCGCUGACGAUGCCGUUCUGCUUGCCAGUCGUGUGAGUGCAAGAGCUAUUUGGGGCAUGAGUCAAUGAACAGGGUACUUUCAUCCCCAAGGCGAAUUACAGGGUGAGUCUAAGAGAACAGAGCCUAAUAAGAUACACUCCUCGUGGGCUGUGGCUGUGGCUCAGCAGUAGAGCGCUUGCUUAGCACGCUCACGAGGCCCUGGGUUAGAUCCUCAGCAGCACAUAAAAAUAAAUAAAUAAAAAUAAAUGUAUUGCAUCCAUCUACAACUAAAAAAUAAAUAUAUAUAUAUAUAUAUAUAUAAAAGAUAAGCUCCUUGGUGACCAAGCAAACACAGCAAAAUUGAUUUGUAGAAAACCCCCCCCCCAUGGAUUACUUCUGUGAAAUUAAAGAUGUGCACUAAGCACAUUGACAUCACGUACCCAUCAGUUCCUGGUGGGAUCCAUCCCAGGCUCCCUAGUUUUUCUCCAUCCAUAGUUGGAAUGGCAACCAGGAUGCAUUUCUUCAAGCCUUUGAAAAGAAGUGACACAAAUACAAAGGUCUUGAGGGAUAUCUGGAGAUUUGGGGGAUGCCUACGAUGGGUUGAAUUGUAUUCCUCCAAAAGACCUGAGCCCUGUAUCUGUGAACGUGUCCUUAUGUGGAAACAGGGUCCUUGCAGAUGUCACUGAGUUGAGAUCAGUCUGGAUCAGGGUUAGCUCUACAUUCAGUGACCAAUAUUCUUCUCAGGAGAGGGAAAUAUGGACCCAGAUCCGUGAAUACACACAGGACGAGCACCGUGAGCUUGGAGAGAUGCAUCUGUAAGCCAGGGUACACCAAGGGUGGCCGGGACCCAGGAGAGAGGCUUGGAGCAGAUUCUCCCUCUGGACUCCUGUGGGAACCAACCCUGCAGACUUCUAGGCUCCAGACCUGGAGAAGAAUCCAUUUCUCAUGUUUCAGCCGCGUGCUCUGGGGUGCUUUACUACAGCAUCCCUAGGAAACCACCAGGGCUACAUUCCAGGGGCAGCUCAGUACUUUGACCAGAGCGACAGUCCUACACCAUGGGAACUGUCAAGCAGGGAACUGAAAGAUCACGUGAUGGGAGAGGACUCCAUCUGCCAGGACAUGGAGUUGUCUGGGAUGUCCUGUGGCUGUGGGAUAAACCACUGCGCUUCCAGACAGAGUGGGAAAUCCGUCUGUCCUGCAUUCCUCAAAAAACAGAAUGGGUCGAAGGCCUGUGCGUUUGAUGUGGCCCGGAGACGAUGACUUUGGUGAGUCCCUCUGUGUGAUGGCUGUGGCUGCUCUCAGGGCCUGCAGGCCUGUGCUUUUCUCUGGAAACUUGUCGGAGUCCAGGGAGUCUCAGGAGACGAACGGAUGGUGAGGAGUCGGCGAAAGGCGGCGGAGAAACAACACAGACACAAGAGGGAAGGUGUUGCAUCUGAUUCUUUACUUGUGAAGUUAAUCAUAUAUACUUUUCAUUUUGGGAGGCUCACAGUAUUUUGUGGUUACAAAACAGGAAUCAUUAUUCAAAGAAACAGAAUUUUACGUAGCUACAAUUAGAUAAGAAGAAUGUCUCUUGGCUUAUGCAUAAGCAAGCAUUUUUACUUUCAGUUCGCAUUUUGCUUUGAGCUGUUUCUGCUUAGUUAGCUUUUAAUAAUAGUUGGAAAUGUCCCAGACUAUUGGCCUAUACCUUGACUAUUCUUUCUUGACUUACUGACUAGAACCGGCGCCGCGGUUACGGCAAGUGGUUGACUUGUUAUUAAUUUUAAUCAAACAAGAGUAAGAGCACAAACCAUUGUGCACAGGAACAAGAACAAGUUGCCCAGUGCCAAGCACUAAUCUGUCUUCUUAACAUUAAUUCUUCUUCUCUAGAUUUUAAUUUAAUUUCUCAAAAACUUCCUUGACUGUUUUUCCUACAGGGGGUUUCUCAUUAAACAUUAACAAUUUACAUUCCACAGCUGAAUCAUUGCAUUUAGAGCAAACAGAUUUAUUCUUUAGCAGUAGUUGCAUUAAUUGGGCAAGUCAUGUUUUUUCCUUCAUACUUAAUGGUCAUAUGAGAAGUUACAAUUACACUUAUUAACAGAAGUGCAAAAACAAACCAUCCCAUUCCCUGAAACAUGCUGUGCUCCUCCAGAGGAUGGACACCAUGUGCCAUCCACCUCAGUAGGGCCUUGCCUUUGCCUGAAUCAGGGGAGGGGCGCAGCAGAUGCUGAACACAGUCUGGUCCUUGACUUGAGGACCUGCAAUGUUAGCCUCCUCCCCUGGAUGCCUCUGGCAAGUCGGCCCCCCCACCAAGCGUUCCCUACAUCACCAGCUGAGGGAUGCCCCUCUCUGGUCAGCUUCCUGGGACUUUCUGAAUGGUAACUCAUGGCUUUCUCAGUCACCAAUCUGUCCCAUGUGUUUGCAUCAGCAAUAAAUGUCAUGACCAGGUGGAGGUGUCUGACGUGAUCUUUGCACUGUAGUCACAGAGCCAAGUGAGUAAACUCCAACACACGCCAUCAAGGAACGCAAGGGUCAUCACUGCAGUAGAGGAGGCUUGAUGUGACAAGCAGCAAUCUAGUCUUGGGGCUGCAACCAUGUUCCCGUUAGAUCUUCAUCAAAGGUGAGCUGUGGCUCUGCUCUAGUCAUCUUAUUCUGAGGGCCAGGCUGGUUGAAACUGUUAGUUGUAGAUGGACACAAUAUCUUUAUUUUUAUUCGUUUAUUUUUUAUGUGGUGCUGAGGAUCGAACCCAGGGUCUCACCCAUGCGAGGCAAGCGCUCUACAGCUGAGCCCCAGCCCCAGCCCAAGAGAUUGUUGCCCUUUUAUGGCAGAAGGAAAAGAGUGAUGUGGAGAACCACCAUUGGCCCUCAGGUUCAUGCUUAAAAGUGCCAUGUGUCACUUUGCAUUGUUUUUUUUUUUAAAGAGAGAGAGAGAGAGAAUUUUUAAUAUUUAUUUUUUAGUUUUCGGCGGACACAACAUAUUUGUUUGUAUGUGGUGCUGAGGAUGGAACCCGGGCUGCACGCAUGCCAGGCGAGCGCGCUACCGCUUGAGCCACAUCUCCAGCCCUUGCAUUGGUUUUAUUGGUCAAGGUAGGUCACGUUGCCAAGAAUGAUGCGAGUGAGAAGGGUGUGUUCUUCCCACAGGGAGAGGAAAUGAAAAGCCUCAGUGACUCCACGGUCUGUGAGGUUCCCUGUGGGACUUUUAGGUUAUGCUAUAUGUUUGAAAAUCACUGCAGGGUCAGAAAUUUUUGCGUACUAACUACUGGGUGAGAACUUUUUAAGUGUUCAUUUUCCUUUUGAAUCACCCUAUGUAAUAAUGCCCUUGUUAUGUGCUUACCGAGAAUGCAUGUGUCAAAAUCAACUCAAGGCAGAUCAGAGUAGGCACUAGAACAGAGACGCUGCACCUAAUUGAAGAAAAAAUACACCAGAAUCUUCAUCAUGUCAGCUUAGGACCUGACUUCCUCGGCAAGACUCCUAAAGUGCAAGAGGUAAAAUCAAGAAUCAAUAAAUGGGAUGAAUUCAAACUAAAAAGCUUCCUCUCAGCAAAGGAAACAAUCAAUAAUGUAAAGAGAGAGCCUAUAGAAGGGAGAAAAGUCUUUACCACAUGCACCUCAGAUAGACCACUAAUCUCCAGGAUAUAUAAAGAACUCAAAAAAUUAACACCAAAAAACCCCCUCAGAUAACCCAAUCAAUAAAUGGGCUGAUGAACAAAACAGACACUUCACAGAAGAAAAACUACAAUUUCUCAACAAACAUAUGAAAAAAUGUUUAUUGGGGCUAGGGCUGGGGCUCAGCAGUAGCUCACUUGCCUAGCAUGUGUGAGGCACUGGGUUCAAUUCUCAGCACCGCAUAUAAAUAAAUAAAAUAAAGGUCCAUCAACAACUAAAAAAUCAUUUAAAAAAUCGUUAUCAUCUCUAGUAAUUAGAGAAAUGCAAAUCAAAACUACUCUAAGAUUUCUUCUCACUCCAGUCAGAAUGGCAUUUAUCAAGAAUACAAGCAAUAAUAAGUGUUGAUGGGGCUGUGGGGAAAAAGGCGCACUCAUACAUUGCUGGUGGGACUGCAAAUUGGUGCAGCCACUAUGCAAAGCAGUAUAGAGAUUCCUCAGAAACUUGGAAAGGAACCACCAUUUGACCCAUCUAUCCACUCCUUGAUUUAUACCCAAAGGACUUAAAAUCAGCAAACUACAGUAACUCAAACACAUCAAUGUUUAUAGCAGCUCAGUUCACAAUAGUUAAACUAUGGCACCAACAUUGAUGCCUUCAACAAAUGAAUGGAUAAAGAAAAAGUGGUACAUACGCAAUGGAAUAUUACUCAGCCUUAAAGAAGAAUAAAAUUAUGGCACCUGCAGGUAAAUGGAUGGAACUAGAGAAUAUCAUGCUAAGCGAAAUAAGCCAGUCCCCCAAAACCAAAAGCUGAAUGGUUUCUCUAAUAAGUGGAUGCUGAUCCACAAUGGGCAGGGGGUAGGGAGGAAUGAAGGAACUUUGGUUUGUGCAGAGGGGAGGACGGUAGAAUGAGACAGACAGUAUUACCCCAUGUACAUG